UCUGUCCUCAGGGUCUCGCCACGGAUCACGUACGCCUGGGAUAUAUAGGGCACAUUCCACACGCCCCUGGAGGCACCCGCACCGGGGUCAGCUCCACGUAGUCCUCGGACCGAGCGUAGUACUCGUCGGGGCUCAGGGCUCCCCAGAAGUUGGACCACAGCUUCCCGUGGCGGGACAGCAUGGGCGCUAUCACCUUCCUGUGGAUGGGCAGAGGAUGCGCAGGGUCUGCUGGUUGGUGAUGACGGCGUCAGCAUCCAGGCUGAAGUAGAAUUCGCACUCGGGGUCCUGCCGACAGCUGUCCCUGGAGCCCGAAGGCGCCUGGAACAUCCCAAGCCCCACCACUCUUGGCCCCUCAGCCUUGGGCACUCUGCCACUCACCACCAGAGUUGAG